rnacentral:rRNA from 1 species
UACAGAGGUCUCAAGCGUUGUUCGGAUUCAUUGGGCGUAAAGGGUGCGUAGGUGGCGUCGUAAGUCAGGUGUGAAAUUUCGGAGCUUAACUCCGAAACUGCAUUUGAUACUGCGGUGCUUGAGGACUGGAGAGGAGACUGGGAUUUACGGUGUAGCAGUGAAAUGCGUAGAGAUCGUAAGGAAGACCAGUGGCGAAGGCGGGUCUCUGGACAGUUCCUGACACUGAGGCACGAAGGCCAGGGGAGCAAACGGG